GCGCACGUGGUGGAACGGUAGACACGCGGGCUUGAGGGGCUCGUGCUUCGCGGCGUGGAGGUUCAAAUCCUCUCGUGCGCACCA
rnacentral:tRNA from 1 species